AUAGCUCAGCUGGGAGAGCACCUGCUUUGCAAGCAGGGGGUCGUCGGUUCGAUCCCGUCU
rnacentral:tRNA from 1 species